rnacentral:RNase_P_RNA from 1 species
GCGGGGAGGUUCACGGUCGCGCCCUGGCCACAGGGUGAGGAAAGUCCGGGCACCGCAGGGCAGGAUGCCAGCUAACGGCUGGUCGGCGAGCCGAGCGCCUGCAUGAACGCCGAAAGCGUGCGGGCAGCGGCGAAGCCGAAGGACAGUGCCACAGAAACCAGACCGCCACCCCUCGGCGUGCAGAACGUGGAGCCUCAGGCGUGGGCGGGGGGGUGGUCAGGGUGAAACGGUGCGGUAAGAGCGCACCAGGCCCCCCGGAGACGCGGGGCGCUGGUAAACCCCAUCCGGUGCAAGACCCGACAGUGCGCGAGGGGCGGCCCGCCCCACUGACCGCCAGGAUGGUCGCUUGAGGCGCGCGGCGACGUGCGUCCCAGAGAGAUGACCGUGACCCCACCUCCCGGUGGGCCACAGAACCCGGCUUAUCGCCUCCCCGCACCA